AGAGUUUGAUCAUGGCUCAGGAUGAACGCUGGCGGCGUGCUUAACACAUGCAAGUCGAACGGUGAAGCAGAGCUUGCUCUGUGGAUCAGUGGCGAACGGGUGAGUAACACGUGAGCAACCUGCCCCGGACUCUGGGAUAAGCGCUGGAAACGGCGUCUAAUACUGGAUAUGAGCUGCAACCGCAUGGUUAGCAGUUGGAAAGAUUUUUCGGUCUGGGAUGGGCUCGCGGCCUAUCAGCUUGUUGGUGAGGUAAUGGCUCACCAAGGCGUCGACGGGUAGCCGGCCUGAGAGGGUGACCGGCCACACUGGGACUGAGACACGGCCCAGACUCCUACGGGAGGCACCAGUGGGGAAUAUUGCACAAUGGGCGAAAGCCUGAUGCAGCAACGCCGCGUGAGGGACGACGGCCUUCGGGUUGUAAACCUCUUUUAGCAAGGAAGAAGCGAAAGUGACGGUACUUGCAGAAAAAGCGCCGGCUAACUACGUGCCAGCAGCCGCGGUAAUACGUAGGGCGCAAGCGUUAUCCGGAAUUAUUGGGCGUAAAGAGCUCGUAGGCGGUCUGUCGCGUCUGCUGUGAAAACUGGGGGCUCAACCCCCAGCCUGCAGUGGGUACGGGCAGACUAGAGUGCGGUAGGGGAGAUUGGAAUUCCUGGUGUAGCGGUGGAAUGCGCAGAUAUCAGGAGGAACACCGAUGGCGAAGGCAGAUCUCUGGGCCGUAACUGACGCUGAGGAGCGAAAGGGUGGGGAGCAAACAGGCUUAGAUACCCUGGUAGUCCACCCCGUAAACGUUGGGAACUAGUUGUGGGGUCCAUUCCACGGAUUCCGUGACGCAGCUAACGCAUUAAGU
rnacentral:rRNA from 1 species